rnacentral:lncRNA from 1 species
GGUGUGGUUGUAAGUAGAAGUUAAUUAAUACGUUGGUUCUGCAUAUGUAUUCGGAAAUAAAUAAUUGAUGCAUUUUAAAGGAAAAGAUUGCAUUUCAUUCAACCAUGGGACAUUCAGCCAAGACUAUUAUUUCAGUACAGUAAAGUUUGCCUUACAAUUCAAUUAUAGGACUUCGUAUAUCAUGACAAUUUCAAAUAAUAACUCCAGACUAUUAUUUC